rnacentral:misc_RNA from 1 species
UCUCCGUAGGUGAACCUGCGGAGGGAUCAUUACUGAGUGAGGGCUUCGGUCCGACCUCCAACCCUUUGUGAACCAAACUUGUUGCUUCGGGGGCGACCCGGCCCUCCUGGGCGUCGGGGCCCCCGGUGGUCCAUCUCAACCCUGCAUCUGUGCGUCUGAGUAAAUAUUUGAAUCAAUCAAAACUUUCAACAACGGAUCUCUUGGUUCUGGCAUCGAUGAAGAACGCAGC